AUUGAACGCUGGCGGCAGGCCUAACACAUGCAAGUCGAGCGGAUGAAGGGAGCUUGCUCCUGGAUUCAGCGGCGGACGGGUGAGUAAUGCCUAGGAAUCUGCCUGGUAAUGGGGGAUAACGUCCGGAAACGGGCGCUAAUACCGCAUACGUCCUGAGGGAGAGAGUGGGGGAUCUUCGGACCUCACGCUAUCAGAUGAGCCUAGGUCGGAUUAGCUAGUUGGUGGGGUAAAGGCCUACCAAGGCGACGAUCCGUAACUGGUCUGAGAGGAUGAUCAGUCACACUGGAACUGAGACACGGUCCAGACUCCUACGGGAGGCAGCAGUGGGGAAUAUUGGACAAUGGGCGAAAGCCUGAUCCAGCCAUGCCGCGUGUGUGAAGAAGGUCUUCGGAUUGUAAAGCACUUUAAGUUGGGAGGAAGGGCAGUAAGUUAAUACCUUGCUGUUUUGACGUUACCAACAGAAUAAGCACCGGCUAACUUCGUG
rnacentral:rRNA from 1 species